rnacentral:rRNA from 1 species
UACGUAGGUGGCAAGCGUUGUCCGGAUUUACUGGGCGUAAAGGGCGUGCAGGCGGUUUGUUAAGUACAGGGUGAAAGCUCCCGGCUCAACUGGGAGAGGUCCUUGCAUACUGGCGAACUCGAGGGAGGCAGAGGAAAGUGGAAUUCCCGGUGUAGUGGUGAUAUGCGUAGAUAUCGGGAGGAACACCUGUGGCGAAGGCGGCUUUCUGGGCCUUACCUGACGCUGAGACGCGAAAGCGUGGGGAGCGAACCGG